CGCUGGCGGCGUGCCUAAUACAUGCAAGUCGAGCGGAAUGAUGAAGAAGCUUGCUUCUUCUGAUUUUAGCGGCGGACGGGUGAGUAACACGUGGGCAACCUACCUUGUAGAUUGGGAUAACUCCGGGAAACCGGGGCUAAUACCGAAUAAUCCAUUUUGCUUCAUGGCGAGAUGUUGAAAGACGGUUUCGGCUGUCACUAUAAGAUGGGCCCGCGGCGCAUUAGCUAGUUGGUAGGGUAAUGGCCUACCAAGGCGACGAUGCGUAGCCGACCUGAGAGGGUGAUCGGCCACACUGGGACUGAGACACGGCCCAGACUCCUACGGGAGGCAGCAGUAGGGAAUCUUCCACAAUGGACGAAAGUCUGAUGGAGCAACGCCGCGUGAGUGAAGAAGGUUUUCGGAUCGUAAAACUCUGUUGUAAGGGAAGAACACGUACGAGAGUAACUGCUCGUACCCUGACGGUACCUUAUUAGAAAGCCACGGCUAACUACGUG
rnacentral:rRNA from 1 species